UACGUAGGGUGCAAGCGUUGUCCGGAAUUAUUGGGCGUAAAGAGCUCGUAGGCGGUUUGUCACGUCGGAUGUGAAAAUCCAGGGCUCAACCCUGGACCUGCAUUCGAUACGGGCAGACUAGAAUUCGGUAGGGGAGUCUGGAAUUCCUGGUGUAGCGGUGAAAUGCGCAGAUAUCAGGAGGAACACCGGUGGCGAAGGCGGCGACCUGGGUCGAGACUGACGUUGAGGCGCGAAAGCGUGGGGAGCAAACAGG
rnacentral:rRNA from 1 species